rnacentral:lncRNA from 10 species
AGAUGGGGUCUUCUUUUGUUGCCCAGGCUGGCCACAAAUUCCUGGGCUCAAGUGAUCCUCCCACCUCGUCCUUGUAGAGAUGAGAUUUAGUUAUGUCGUCCAGGCUGAUCUCAAACUCCUGGGCUAAAUCGAUUGUCUCACCUCAGCCUCUCAAGUAUGUUAUGAAGGUUAUAUGUUAGGAAGGGUCCCAGGAGGUAAACCCACACAGAUGGGAUUUGGGCAUAGGUUUGGUUUCCCAGGGGGCAGUGCUGAGCUCUUUGCCAGUGGGAAAUGGGAUGCUGGUGAUUUCCAGUAGGUGACCUCACAGUGACUCAAGCUACCACUUACUGUUGAUUGUGACGAAAUGCCAGCUGAGGCACAUGCCUUGGGAGCUAAGUGGUUGCUGCCCUUGACCACUGUGAAGACUGGUGUGGGAAGGGUCGUUUUGGAUGCACUUGAGCAGGGGUCCCCAACCCCUGAGCCAUGGAGCCGCAAGGAGCCACACAGCAGGAGGUGGGAACAUCCAGUUGCAGGAAAACAAGCUUAACACGCCCACUGAUUCUACAUUAUGCUCCUACCUCCCGGCAGCCUCUCCAGGCCCAGAACUUUCUCCAGUCAGCCUCUACAGACCAAGCUCAUGACUCUCAAUGGCCUAUUUAGGCCCAUACCCUACGUCACGGCAGCCUCCGCAGAUGAGGCUACUGCCUCACAACAGCCUCCACAGGCACAGCUCCAUCGUUACAAUGGCCUCUUUAGACCCAGCUCCUGCCUCCCAGCCUUCUCUCCAGGCCCUGAACUUUCUCAGUAAGUUCAGGGUCUCCCUCUGUUGUCCAAGGCUGGAGUGUAGUAGUGCUAUCGCAGCUGACUGCAGCCUCAACCUUCCAGGCUGAAGCGAUCCUCCCACCUCAACCUCCCACGUGGCUGAGACUACAGGUGCUU